rnacentral:rRNA from 1 species
GAUGAACGCUAGCGGCAGGCCUAAUACAUGCAAGUCGAGGGGCAGCACGGGUAGCAAUAUCUGGUGGCGACCGGCGCACGGGUGCGUAACACGUAUACAAUCUGCCUUUUACAGGGGAAUAGCCCGGAGAAAUUCGGAUUAAUGCCCCAUAAUAGAUUUACUGGCAUCAGUAGAUUUUGAAAGCUCCGGCGGUAAAAGUUGAGUAUGCGCAUGAUUAGCUAGUUGGUAGUGUAAUGGACUACCAAGGCAACGAUCAUUAGGGGAUCUGAGAGGACUACCCCCCACACUGGUACUGAGACACGGACCAGACUCCUACGGGAGGCAGCAGUAAGGAAUAUUGGUCAAUGGAGGCAACUCUGAACCAGCCAUGCCGCGUACAGGAUGAAUGCCCUAUGGGUAGUAAACUGCUUUUAUACGGGAGAAAACCCGGGUACGUGUACCCGGUUGAUAGUACUGUAAGAAUAAGGAUCGGCUAACUUCGUGCCAGCCGCCGCCGUAACAC